rnacentral:rRNA from 1 species
UACGUAGGGUGCAAGCGUUGUCCGGAAUUAUUGGGCGUAAAGAGCUCGUAGGCGGUUUGUCGCGUCUGCUGUGAAAACUCGGGGCUUAACCCCGGGCCUGCAGUGGGUACGGGCAGACUAGAGUGCGGUAGGGGAGACUGGAAUUCCUGGUGUAGCGGUGAAAUGCGCAGAUAUCAGGAGGAACACCGGUGGCGAAGGCGGGUCUCUGGGCCGUAACUGACGCUGAGGAGCGAAAGCGUGGAGAGCGAACAGG